rnacentral:rRNA from 1 species
UACGUAGGGUGCGAGCGUUAAUCGGAAUUACUGGGCGUAAAGCGUGCGCAGGCGGUUCGCUAAGACCGAUGUGAAAUCCCCGGGCUUAACCUGGGAACUGCAUUGGUGACUGGCGGGCUAGAGUGUGGCAGAGGGGGGUAGAAUUCCACGUGUAGCAGUGAAAUGCGUAGAGAUUUGGAGGAACACCGAUGGCGAAGGCAGCCCCCUGGGCUAACACUGACGCUCAUGCACGAAAGCGUGGGGAGCAAACAGG